CAGUCAUUCAAUUUAGAAUUCCAAGUCUCGAAAUCUGGGCUCUUUCUAGAGCUCCACUUUCCAAAAGAAACAUUACUUUUGCGGAUUGGUCGAGGUAUGCGUGAAUGGCCUCCACCUGAAAGUUGGAUGCGAUCCGCCAACCAAGUCCUAAAGAAGAAGAAAAAGAAGAUUGGUCGAAAAGAGGCGUCACAGCGAAUGAGGACAUCGUGGAGUCCACUGAGUCACGGUUGUAUCAGCUGAUUCUUUCUGAGUGAAUAGCUAACCUGAUAGUUUUUUUAUUUUCAAAAUAAACAAACAUGUACAAUAUUUUAAAGUAUUUGCAUUAUGUUGCACGGCUUCUGCAAAAUAUGCCGUAUAUUACCUACAUGUUGACAUGUGUCUGCGUUUUGAACAGCCCACUUCGUAAUCUCGUGCUAGAAGCAAUUGUAGUCCUCUCCCCCUAGUAGCUGGUGUGUUUGAUGGGUCACCACGACUCUCGCUAGCUACAUUGGUUAACGAUACUAGCCAGCUCCUAGUUUUCAUACAACACCCUUUCUGCCUUUGGCACCUGUUUGGUUACACCACUUUGUUUUUGGUUGUGUGCGACACGGUGUGACCAUUGGGCUAGGCAUUUAGCUGUCAAACUGUGCUGUUUAGCGUGCUUUUAGAUGCUUUUCUAGGCUAGCUAAUGUCAAUUUGAAAGACCAUGUCACAGCAAAGGAGUACCCGAAAAACGCAGCCGGGUCGCUGAUGAGCUGUCGGUGACGCAACAGUAUCUAGCUUGUCUCGAGGGGUGGCGAAAUGUCAUAUACCAGAAGAUCAUAAUAAAGUAACGCUAGUGACUAUGCACUAUGGUUUGUGUAUCAUGCUAAAUAGCUGAUUUUAGUAUUACUUUAAUAUUAGCACCAUGUGCCAAGCUUCUUUGCCCCUCCCGAAAUGUCAAGGGAGUAUGCUGGUGUGUAUAGCUACAGAUUGUAUGCCAGAAUGUGAUAUAAUCAAAGAUUGUUCGUGUCAGAUACAUACUGGCGUUUAAAGGAAUGCCCCAUACAAACCACCAGCAUAGAUUUGAACUAACCUGUUCUUGGCGAUACUUUUUGUAACAAAUCUAGAAUGAAGACAUUUGUAAGAAAGUAUCUUACAAAUGUCAGUUUCUAGUUGCAGGUGGUUCUACAAAAAAAACAGCGAAAACUCAGAUAUCGGCCAAAAAUGUCAUAUCGGUUCAUCACUAGAAUAACCCUUAUCGGUCUCCGAC
ensembl:lncRNA